rnacentral:lncRNA from 1 species
AACAUCUAAAAUCUACUCUGCCCUCAAGUUUUGUUCUGAUAGGUUUUAGUUCACUUUCUAUUCACCAUAACCAAACACAGGAAUUCUGUCCACAUGACUUCACUCUCUACUUUCUAAGAGCCUCCCACUCUGUAUUUGCAAGCAUGUGCAUGCACACAUGUACAUAUUUUAUCAGGCAGACCUGAGCUGUUAAAAGAAACAUUUAUAAUCAAAAGGGAAAGCAGUCAAAGCAAAGGGCUUUUUGCUUCCUUGGGAAAAUGACAUGACUUUGGGCCUUUUUAAAAAGAAGACAGAGAAGAGGGAGAAAAGUAAAGUAAUGGAAUGAAGGGGUAAGUAGGUCAUAAAUUGCAAUCUGGAUGCAUAGUGUUAUCUACAUAGAUCCAAAUUUGAUGGUUCAUAGCUUCUCUAGUAGCUUUCUGCCCCAGACUGUCCCCUUGAGACUAACAGGAACAAGUUUGUGUAACAAUUAAUUUAAUAACUUCAGUUCAUGGUAUUCUCAUUACUGACAAACUAAAAACCAAGAUUUUUCACUUAAUCAUAAACCAGAUUCUACUAAUCAAUCACUUAUAGUAUACUCCCCAUUCUUUUCUACCAGCAAGAAUCUCCCACCUUUGUGGGAUUUUCUGGUAGAGAUUUUCUUUUCUCUCUGAAUGUGAGUAAAUAAAAAUAGUUAUCUACUCCUUGCUAGUAUGAUUUUUAUCCACUAUUUAAGCUAUUUAGAUGUCUCAUAUGAAUAUGAUAUUCAGAUUUGAGAAGAUACCCCUUUAUGGUCCAUCUUACACUCAAUUCCUUUUACCCCCUUAAGAUUCCUUCUUUCAUACUUCAUAAAAAUACGUAUUUAAAUCAAAACAUUCAGAGGUCAGAAAAGGGAAAAAACUGUCAAACACUCCAAAACAUCAUACUUAAAAGAGUCAUAGAUUUGGGGUUUUUUUAAAGUCAGUAUACUUGAUCAGGUAAAAUGAAUAACAACCUCCCUUUUCCAUAUUCC